rnacentral:rRNA from 1 species
UACGUAGGGGCCGAGCGUUGUCCGGAGUUAUUGGGCGUAAAGCGCGCGCAGGCGGCCUCGCGCGCCCGACGUGAAAGCCCCCGGCUUAACCGGGGAGGGUCGUUGGGGACGGCGGGGCUUGAGGGCGGGAGAGGUCGGUGGAAUUCCCGGUGUAGUGGUGAAAUGCGUAGAGAUCGGGAGGAACACCUGUGGCGAAGGCGGCCGACUGGGCCGACCCUGACGCUGAGGCGCGACAGCGUGGGGAGCAACAGG